GCCCAGGUGGUGGAAUUGGUAGACACAACAGAUUUAGGUUCUGUUGCCGUAAGGUAGUGCAGGUUCGAGUCCUGUCCUGGGCA
rnacentral:tRNA from 1 species